UUUGAGCAGCGCGCGCUGCAAAUACCAAAUAGAUGAUUGUUAAAUUGCGACUGUCAGUGAAAAGCAGAGAGACCCAGCUAGGCAUAUCGCAAUAUUUAAAAAUACAAUCGUGGAGAAACUGUUUGGAAAAUAAAUAGCUAUUGCUGUAAAGAGAAGACAAUGAAAAGACUUCAAUCUGUCUUUUAGUUAGCAUUAUUCUUAACUUAAUUAAGCGAACAGUAGCCUGUCUUAUUGGCACCAGCCGAGAACAUGUGCCAUAUCCCCGCCAUCAUCCCUGCAUCAUCCCAGCUCUCACAAGCUUCCUUCAAUACCAGCCAGGGAGGGGAAACCUGUGAUGCAACCAAUUUCCUACGUCAGUGCCCUCUUACUACCAGCAGACGUUGCUAUCUCCUGCCCUUCAAUAGUGGGUGUGCAGUGUGUCAUUGCGGCAGUGCACGCACACGGCCAUCCGGCGUGGGAGGCUGUCAGAGAGUGUGUGUGGGAAUCUCCUAAUUCAGAAUGAAGGGUUUAAAUCCAGUCUUUCUUGAAGAAACCAUUUAUCGGGGGGAGGGGGAAAGAGGAGUCAAAUGAUUGUUUGCCAUAUAUCUCUCUUUGUGCUGUUUGAUCCAUUCCAGUAGUUGUCUGGAGAUCAUGAAAACAGCCUCCCUGGAGUUUUAUUAUACACUCAAUCCCCUUUUCACAUCCCAAAAGAGAUGAGAAAGAUGUCCCCCCUACUAUCUGAGCCCAUGGAAUACGUCUUAGAAUAGCUCUUGUCUUAAAGCUCAGGGUUAAUAACUAUAUACUGUAGGACAUGUCUUUAUUCAUGUUGUACAAACUCAAAUUAUAUAUUUUUGAAUGAGUGUAAAGAAUUUGUCAUACAUUUUGCUUAGCUACUGUCUGACCGAACAGCCCAUGUCUGUCCCAACAAUUGAUGUGAUUCAUUUGUGCCUAAGGUCAAGAAAAAUACUAGACUAACCUCAAUGAUUUUUUUUACAUCAAAUGUUAUUUUAGCUGGCUUAGAUGUUUCCCCAUGUGUUCUUGCCCCCUUAGGAAUAAAUAGCCCUUAUUGUCAAAUGAGAAGUUGGAUUUUUAUGGAUUUUAAAGAUGAACUGUUUUUGCAGGAACCACUGGUAAUGACCAUUGCUUUAUAGUUCUCUCGGGACAGUUAAUUAAUCUGCAUAGUCCAUUUCUCUGGGCCAACGUGCGCUGUCUGUCUGUCCACUGAUGGCUUUUCCAACCUGUCCACUUCAUUACUCUGCCAUGCUUGUAAACUGGGCCUUAUGAUGCACUAGAGAUGUGAUUAUAUUGGUAGGAACAGUCCAUUCAAUUUACCAUCAGGAGUCUAUCUAUAAUGCAGUAGUAGUAGCACCAUCACCAGCUGUAGUAGUAGUAGUAGUAGUAGUAGUAGUAGCACCAGUAGUAGUAGCUGUAGUAGCACCAGCACCAGCACCAGCUGUAGUAGUAGUAGUAGUAGUA